CUGCCCAAAGGAGAGUGCUAGACACUAUGGACCCUUGCUAAAAAUCAUCCACCCUCUGCGGCACCACUGACCUUGGAAUCGUGUAUCCCCAGCUGGAAGGGACCCACAAGGACUAUCAGCUCCAACCAACUGACGGAAGAGUGCUGAAGGGUUCACACUGAAAGUGCUGCAGCCUUCUACAAUUUGUGGUGUUCAUUAUUAUAUUCCCCAUCUCAUAGCAUCAUUAAGAUAAGAGAAGUCCUACAGAGAAUCGUUGCCUUUGGCUGUGGAAUGAGACCCACAACUUCUGGGUACCAGAACAGGUGCUUCUGUUUAACCCACUCAUACUCCAGACCUGAGCAUCACUUCCUCAGAGGUGCCCAGGAGAUCAGCUUGGACUCAUCACUUCUCCACAACGGGUGGAAGAAGGUGGCUCCAGGAGCCGACAAUUGUUGUCAUCACAAGUUAGCAGCUCCCAGCUGCAGCCGAGGACCUGCUGAAAGGACGGAGCUGCACCUCCUGGAGGGCUUCUUAAAGUGCUGGAAAUAGGUACGAAAAAUCAAAGUCCCCCAUUCAUCUUCAUGCAGUCAUCUGCAGGUAGCCGUGUGAAGCUUGCUUAUGGGGAUGAGAGUGGGCAAUGCCAGGAGACCUCUCCAGCCACUUCUUCUGGGCCUGGUUUGGCACAGAAAUAGUAUUAGAGAAG
rnacentral:lncRNA from 1 species